UACGGAGGGUGCAAGCGUUAUCCGGAUUCACUGGGUUUAAAGGGUGCGUAGGUGGAGUGGUAAGUCAGUGGUGAAAUCUCCAAGCUUAACUUGGAAACUGCCGUUGAUACUAUCAUUCUUGAACAUCGUGGAGGUAAGCGGAAUAUGUCAUGUAGCGGUGAAAUGCUUAGAUAUGACAUAGAACACCGAUUGCGAAGGCAGCUUGCUACACGAUCAUUGACACUGAGGCACGAAAGCGUGGGGAUCAAACAGG
rnacentral:rRNA from 1 species